rnacentral:rRNA from 1 species
CUACGCACUCCUACGGGAGGCAGCAGUGGGGAAUAUUGCACAAUGGGCGCAAGCCUGAUGCAGCCAUGCCGCGUGUAUGAAGAAGGCCUUCGGGUUGUAAAGUACUUUCAGCAGUGAGGAAGGUGGAUAUGUUAAUAGCAUAUUCAUUUGACGUUAGCUGCAGAAGAAGCACCGGCUAACUCCGUGCCAGCAGCCGCGGUAAUACGGAGGGUGCGAGCGUUAAUCGGAAUUACUGGGCGUAAAGCGCAUGCAGGUGGUUUGUUAAGUCAGAUGUGAAAGGCCCGGGGCUCAACCUCGGAAUUGCAUUUGAAACUGGCAAACUAGAGUACUGUAGAGGGGGUAGAAUUUCAGGUGUAGCGGUGAAAUGCGUAGAGAUCUGAAGGAAUACCGGUGGCGAAGGCGGCCCCCUGGACAGAUACUGACACUCAGAUGCGAAAGCGUGGGGAGCAAACAGGAUUAGAUACCCUGGUAG